rnacentral:tRNA from 2 species
GCCGUUGUAGCUCAGGGGUAGAGCGCAUCCUUGGUAAGGAUGAGGUCCCGGGUUCAAUUCCCGGCAUCGGCU